AUGGCAGCAAUUCACCACCUCCUCUCCGUCUCAGUGUACAUCAUUUGUCUCUGCUACUUGCUGUCGUUGACCAGUGCACCUCCGGGUCUGGCCACCGCGCUCUCCUUCAACUUCAACUUCUCCAGCAGCAACUCCGGCGACCUCUGCGACACGGAGCUUAGGUGCGAACGUGACGCGCGCAUGGGCUCUGGCGCCAUCGACCUAACAAAGAAUGAGCUCAGAGCCAACUUGUACAGCGCCGGCCGGGCAUCGUAUGGUCGCCCGGUGCCGCUCUGGGACAACGCCACCGGUAAGGUGGCCAGCUUCUCCUCCAACUUCACGUUCCAGAUCAGGCCCCAAAAUGAGACGCAUGAGAAGUUCCCUGGAGAAAAGUGUGACUUCAACAGCAGCGAUGGCAUGGCUGACGGUAUGGCUUUCUUCCUGGCGCGCUACCCGUCCAGGAUCCCUCCCAACAGCUACGGCAUGAACCUCGCCCUCUUCAACGACAGCAACAACUUGAACUCCACUGGCGAUGACCGUGUAGUCGCCGUGGAGUUCGACACCUACUUCAGCCCCAUGGACCACAGCAACAACCAUGUUGGCAUAGACGUCAACUCCAUCAACUCCAAGGCCUACACAAACGUGACCAAGCGCCUGGGCUCCGACAACGCUGUCGUGACUGUCGAGGUCAGCUACGACAACCGUACGGGUGUUCUGGUCGCCCACCUCCAGAUCAGCGGCGACGAGCGGUGGUACACGGUGAGCAUGUCCGUGGACAUGAAGAAGGAGUUGCCCCAGCAGGUUGCGGUUGGCUUCUCUGGAGCAAGCGGUAUCUGCAUCGAGCUGCAUCAAGUAUUGUCUUGGUCAUUUAGCUCCACUCUAGAGGAAGCCACUGUACUAGCUACCAAUUCGCGGCCGCCACGGUGGCUAGUGCCCGUGCUGGUGCCUUCCGCAGCAGUAGCUUUUCUUGCGUUGGUCUGCACCGUCGGCAUCCUAGUAUGUCGGCGACGCAUAUGGGAUUCUGAUGAUAACGAUGACAGAGAACAUGAGCAAGCUGAGUUUGAGAGGGGAGUGGGCCCUAGGCGGUACCGCUACCAUGAGCUCGCCGCUGCCACCAAGGGCUUUGCGGAGGAGGAGAAACUGGGGCGAGGGGGCUUCGGCAAUGUCUAUCGGGGCAGCCUGGGCGACCAAGACGGCUCGGUGGCCAUAAAGAUGUUCUCCGCGGAAUCAUCAGCGCAGGGGCGGAAAGAGUUUGAGUCGGAAGUGAAGAUCAUAAGCCGGCUGAGGCACCGAAACCUUGUGCACUUGUUAGGAUGGUCGGAUAGCCCUAGAGGGCUGUUGCUCGUCUACCAACUCGUGCCGGAAGGCAGCCUUGACCGACAUAUACACACCAGCUGUCUCACUUGGACACAGAGGUACGAAGCAAAAUUAAGUUCUCAGUUUCAUUCCUAA
rnacentral:rRNA from 1 species